rnacentral:rRNA from 1 species
GAUGAACGCUAGCGGCAGGCUUAACACAUGCAAGUCGAGGGGUAGAGGCUUUCGGGCCUUGAGACCGGCGCACGGGUGCGUAACGCGUAUGCAAUCUGCCUUGUACUGGGGGAUAGCCCAGAGAAAUUUGGAUUAAUACCCCAUAGUAUUUUUGGUUGGCCUCAACUGAUUAUUAAAGUUUUUCGGUACAAGAUGAGCAUGCGUCCCAUUAGCUAGUUGGUAUGGUAACGGCAUACCAAGGCUACGAUGGGUAGGGGUCCUGAGAGGGAGAUCCCCCACACUUGUACUGAGAAACGGACCAGACUCCUACGGGAGGCAGCAGUGAGGAAUAUUGGUCAAUGGUCGCAAGACUGAACCAGCCAUGCCGCGUGCAGGAUGAAGCAUCUAUGGUGUGUAAACUGCUUUUGUACGGGAAGAAACACUCCUACGUGUAGGGGCUUGACGGUACCGUAAGAAUAAGGAUCGGCUAACUCCGUGCCAGCCGCCGCCGUAACAC